rnacentral:rRNA from 1 species
CCUACGGGUGGCAGCAGUGGGGAAUAUUGGGCAAUGGAGGAAACUCUGACCCAGCAAUGCCGCGUGAAUGAAGAAGGUCUUCGGAUUGUAAAGCUCUUUAGUCAGGGAAGAAUAAAAUUACGGUAACUGAAGAAUAAGCUCAGGCUAACUACGGGGCAGCAACCGGGGGAAUCCGUGAGGCGCAAGGGUUGUUCGGAAUGACUGGGCGUAAAGGGGGGGGAGGGUGGUAUACAAGUUAGAAGGGGAAUACCCAGGGCUUAACUCGGGUGCUGCUUCUAAAACUGGAAGACUUGAGUGCAGUAGAGGUUAGUGGAAUUCCUGGUGUAGCGGUGGAAUGCGUAGAUAUUAGGAGGAACACCAGAGGCGAAGGCGGCUAACUGGACUGCAACUGACGCUGAGGCACGAAAGUGUGGGGAGCAAACAGGAUUAGAUACCCGAGUAGUC